rnacentral:rRNA from 1 species
CAGCAGUCGCCACGGUAAUACGGAGGGGGCUAGCGUUGUUCGGAAUUACUGGGCGUAAAGCGCACGUAGGCGGCUUGGUAAGUUAGAGGUGAAAGCCCGGAGCUCAACUCCGGAAUUGCCUUUAAGACUGCCGAGCUAGUAGGUGAGAGAGGUAAGUGGAAUUCCGAGUGUAGAGGUGAAAUUCGUAGAUAUUCGGAAGAACACCAGUGGCGAAGGCGGCUUACUGGCUCAUUCUGGACGCUGAGGUGCGAAAGCGUGGGGAGCAAACAGGAUUAGAUACCCGGGUAGUCCCUGUCUCUUAUAC